AACGAACGCUGGCGGCAGGCCUAACACAUGCAAGUCAAGCGCCCAGCAAUGGGAGCGGCGGACGGGUGAGUAACGCGUGGGAAUUUUUCCUGGAGUACGGAACAACCGAGGGAAACUUCGGCUAAUACCGUAUGAUAUCGAGAGAUCAAAGAUUUAUCGCUCUGGGGUGAGCCCGCGUCAGAUUAGGUAGUUGGUGGGGUAACGGCCUACCAAGCCUGCGAUCUGUAGCUGGUCUGAGAGGACGAUCAGCCACACUGGGACUGAGACACGGCCCAGACUCCUACGGGAGGCAGCAGUGGGGAAUCUUGCGCAAUGGGCGAAAGCCUGACGCAGCCAUGCCGCGUGAGUGAAGAAGGUCUUAGGAUUGUAAAGCUCUUUCGCUCGUGACGAUGAUGACGGUAACGAGAGAAGAAGCCCCGGCUAACUUCGUGCCAGCAGCCGCGGUAAGAC
rnacentral:rRNA from 1 species